rnacentral:rRNA from 1 species
ACGGGAGGCAGCAGUGGGGGAUAUUGCACAAUGGAGGAAACUCUGAUGCAGCGACGCCGCGUGAGGGAAGACGGUUUUCGGAUUGUAAACCUCUGUCUUCAGGGACGAUAAUGACGGUACCUGAGGAGGAAGCCACGGCUAACUACGUGCCAGCAGCCGCGGUAAUACGUAGGUGGCGAGCGUUGUCCGGAAUUACUGGGUGUAAAGGGAGCGUAGGCGGGUAUGCAAGUUGAAUGUGAAAUCUAUCGGCUCAACUGAUAGGCUGCGUUCAAAACUGUAUAUCUUGAGUGAAGUAGAGGCAGGCGGAAUUCCUGGUGUAGCGGUGAAAUGCGUAGAUAUCAGGAGGAACACCGGUGGCGAAGGCGGCCUGCUGGGCUUUUACUGACGCUGAGGCUCGAAAGCAUGGGUAGCAAACAGGAUUAGAUACCCUGGUA